rnacentral:rRNA from 1 species
GUCGAGUGACUGCGGAGGAUCAUUAAAGGUUUAUCAUGGCCGAAAGAGCUUGUCUCUUUUNNNUAACCAUGAUCUAUCCACAAUGUGCAUUUAUUGAAAUAUGCUUUGGCAAGGGCAAUUUAUUUUGUCUUUGUCAGAGAUUUUCUUUUAAUUAUAUCCUUAAUGUUUGACUGAAAUAAAAAUUUAAAAAAUUUUAAUACAACUUUCAACAACGGAUCUCUUGGCUCUCGCAUCGAUGAAGAACGCAGCGAAAUGCGAUACGUAAUGUGAAUUGCAGAAUUCAGUGAAUCAUCGAAUCUUUGAACGCAUAUUGAACUAUUUGGCCCCUAAGAGUAUGCCUGUUUCAGUAUCAGAAAUAACCAUCGAAAAAAAUAUAUUUUUUUUCGGAAUUGGGCUUUUUUGCAAAUUUUUUCUUUUAAUGAUUUGCUGGCCUAAAAUAUAAUCACGAUGGCUAUUGAGUCUUCGUAGGCGUCAUAGUUGGCCUUUAUUGUGUCAAUCUUUCGCGCUGAAUCGAAAUGUCUCUUAUGUCUUUAUAUCGUGCAUUUUUUAUAAUUUUUUUUAAAAAAAUAAUUUUUCAACUUGAUCUGAAAUCAGGUAAGAUUACCCGCUGAACUUAAGCAUAUCAAUAAGCGGAGGAAAAGAAACCAACAAGGAUUCCCUUAGUAACGGCGAGUGAAGCGGGAAAGCUCAAAUUUGAAAUCUGACACAUCAUACCAGUGUCCGAGUUGUAACCUAUGAGAGAUGUUUUCAGUGGGCGCCUGGGUUUAAGUCUCUUGGAAUGGGGCAUCAUAGAGGGUGAGAAUCCCGUCUUUGAUUCGGAGCAGCCUACUAUGUGAUACAUCUUCAAAGAGUCGGUUUGUUUGGGAAUGCAGACCAAAAUGGGUGGUAAAUUCCAUCUAAAGCUAAAUAUUGGCGAGAGACCGAUAGCGAACAAGUACCGUGAGGGAAAGAUGAAAAGAACUUUGAAAAGAGAGUUAAACAGUACGUGAAAUUGUUGAAAGGGAAACGUUUGGAAUUAGUCUCGUAGGCAAGAAAUCAGUUUGGCUUUUGGGCCGAGUGCAUUUUCUUGUUUUACAGGUCAGCGUCAGUUUUGGUUGCCAGAAAAAAAUUGAGAGAACGUGGCUCGCUUCGGUGAGUGUUAUAGCUCUUAGCCAAUAUGGUGAUUGGGACUGAGGUCUGCAGCCAACCGGUUUUAACCGUCAGGGGACUUCAUACGCUAGUGGUAACCCUUUUAUGAAUAGCUUGCUGAUCAUGAUUGGAAUUGCUACUACUCGUUGUGAUUGUCUCUCCUUGGCUUAGGUCGCUGACUUAAUGAUUCCAAAUGACCCGUCUUGAAACACGGACCAAGGAGUCUAACAUGUCUGCGAGUAUUUGGGUGGCAAACUCAAAUGCGUAAUGAAAGUAAUGUAGGUGGGAUCCCGUAAGGGAGCACCAUCGACCGAUCUGGAUAUUUUUUGAUAGAUUUGAGUAUGAGCAGAUAUGCUGGGACCCGAAAGAUGGUGAACUAUGCCUGAAUAGGGUGAAGCCAGAGGAAACUCUGGUGGAGGCUCGUAGCGAUUCUGACGUGCAAAUCGAUCGUCAAAUUUGGGUAUAGGGCGAAG